UCAGUCGACUCCUACGGGGAGGCAGCAGUGGGGAAUAGUUGCACAAUCGGGGGGAAACCCUGAUGCAGCCAUGCCGCGUGUGUGAAGAAGACCGUUCGGGUUGUAAAGCACUUUCAGUAGGGAGGAAGGUAGUGUAGUUAACACCUGCACUAUUUGACGUUACCUACAGAAGAAGACACCGGCUAACUCCGUGCCAGCAGCCGCGGUAAUACGGGAGGGUGCGAGCGUUAAUCGGAAUUACUGGGACGUAAAGCGCAUGCAGGCGGCCUGUUAAGUCAGAUGUGAAAGGCCCGGGGACCGUUAACCGUACGGUAAAGUUGCUAUUUAGUAAACUGGCGAGGCUAGAGUCUUGUAGAGGGGGGUAGGAAUUUCAGGUGUAGCGGUGAAAUGCGUAGAGAUCUGAAGGAAUACCAGUGGCGAAGGCGGCCCCCUGGACAAAGACUGACGCUCAGAUGCGAAAGCGUGGGGAGCAAACAGGAUUAGAUACCCUGGUAG
rnacentral:rRNA from 1 species